AUUGAACGCUGGCGGCAGGCCUAACACAUGCAAGUCGAGCGGAUGAAGGGAGCUUGCUCCUGGAUUCAGCGGCGGACGGGUGAGUAAUGCAUAGGAAUCUGCCUGGUAGUGGGGGAUAACGUCCGGAAACGGGCGCUAAUACCGCAUACGUCCUGAGGGAGAAAGUGGGGGAUCUUCGGACCUCACGCUAUCAGAUGAGCCUAGGUCGGAUUAGCUAGUUGGUGGGGUAAAGGCCUACCAGGGCGACGAUCCGUAACUGGUCUGAGAGGAUGAUCAGUCACACUGGAACUAGAACACGGUCCAGACUCCUACGGAAGGCAGCAGUGGGGAAUAUUGGACAAUGGGCGAAAGCCUGAGCCAGCCAUGCCGCGUGUGUGAAGAAGGUCUUCGGAUUGUAAAGCACUUUAAGUUGGGAGGAAGGGCAGUAAGUUAAUACCUCGCUGUUUGGACGUUACCAACAGAAUAAGCACCGGCUAACUUCGU
rnacentral:rRNA from 1 species